UACAGAGGGGGCAAGCGUUGUUCGGAAUUACUGGGCGUAAAGGGCGCGUAGGCGGCCUGUUAAGUCGAACGUGAAAUCCCCGGGCUCAACCCGGGAACUGCGUCCGAUACUGGCAGGCUUGAAUCCGGGAGAGGGAUGCGGAAUUCCAGGUGUAGCGGUGAAAUGCGUAGAUAUCUGGAGGAACACCGGUGGCGAAGGCGGCGUCCUGGACCAACACUGACACUGAGGAGCGAAAGCCAGGGGAGCAAAGCGGG
rnacentral:rRNA from 1 species